rnacentral:rRNA from 1 species
UACGGAGGGGGCAAGCGUUGUUCGGAAUUACUGGGCGUAAAGGGCGCGCAGGCGGCUGCUCAAGUCAGGCGUGAAAGGCCUGGGCUCAACCCGGGAAUUGCGCUUGAGACUGGGCUGGCUUGAGUGCGGGAGAGGAUGGUGGAAUUCCCAGUGUAGAGGUGAAAUGCGUAGAUAUUGGGAGGAACACCAGUGGCGAAGGCGGCUCACUGGACCGGUAUUGACGCUGAGGCGCGAAAGCGUGGGGAGCAAACAGG